rnacentral:rRNA from 1 species
GACGAACUGUCCUAACGUUGUUCGGAAUCACUGGGCUUAAAGGGCGCGUGGGCGGUCCGACAAGUCGGGGGUGAAAUCCUGCAGCUUAACUGCAGAAGUGCCUUCGAUACUGUCGGUCUUGAGGGAGAUAGGGGUGUGCGGAACUUCCAGUGGAGCGGUGAAAUGCGUUGAUAUUGGAAGGAACGCCGGAGGCGAAAGCGGCGCACUGGAUCUCUUCUGACGCUGAGGCGCGAAAGCUAGGGGAGCAAACGGG